CCAGCUCCUCGGGUGGCUGAGGCAGGAGAAUGGCGUGAACCCAGGAGGCAGAGCUUGCAGUGAGCAGACAUGGCGCCACUGCACCCCAGCCUGGGCAACAGAGUGAGACUCUGUCUCACUCUGUUGCACAGUUUACAACAACAAAACUAUAGCAUCCAUCACAUAGAGGAGAGACUCCCCAACACACAUAUAAGGAUUACUCUCAGCCCCAGCUCCCUCAAACUUCCUAAGAUCAGCACUGGUAUCUGAUGGUGGCUCCUUGUAAAUCAAACUUAAUGGAGUAUGUGUUAUUUGGUUUAUGUUUAUGUGCAGCCUGCAUAACAACCACUCUGUCAACAUCAUGCAUAUGUUCAUUGUGUUGGUACUAGAAGACUCUAUGACACACACAAGCUGAUGUCAUCUGAUGGGUCUAUUUUAUCUACUUGGCUGUGCAAAUCCUCUUCUGUAGUAUAUGCUUUCUGGUGGACACUAAUAUGGAACACAAAGAUCUUCUCACAUUGCAGCUGCUCCCAUAUAUCCAUUGAUAUAUGCCUCUAACUCCAGACCUUUUUGUCCUUAAUCUUCUAAUCCGGUUAUCUCUUUUCCUUUAGUGCAAUUUUUCCUUAUUUGUUUGUUUUGUUUUUUUUUUUAAGUAAAUAGCUAGGCUUCUAAGCCCUACCACAGAGAGUCAACAGACAAACUGCCCAGGGAAAAGUUAUGACCUCAGGCAAAGUGAAUUUCUACAGCUAAGGCAGAUCCUGAAGAAGCUCACAAAUAAAGGCUGCAUACUCACACAUUCCCUGAAGCUUGACAGUGCCAGCCACCAUACUGUGAGGGAGCUGAAGUAAGCCCACAUGAGGAAGAAUUGAGGUCCCAAGCCAACAGCUGCAGCUAAGAUCCAAGCUCUCAACCAGUACCAGUUCAUCCGUUAUGCACACUAAGAUAUGGAAGCUAAAAGAGGACUAAGAGGAUUCUGGGGAUAUUACAAGAUAUUGCAGACUAUCUUGUUUUCCUGGAAAAGGAUUUUACCUCAGUCGACUGAAUUACUUUUUUCACUGUGUCUUGCCACUCUUCGUGCAUGCAUCAAAGACCCUAAUAUGACUUCUGGUGGCCUGGGACUCCUUGGGAAAACAGAAAAGGGGCCACAAAUCCCAUUUUGGGAACAAUCUGUUUUACUCAUGGAACCCCUGGAAUUAGAGGUGUAAACCAUCAAGCUUUAAAUGGUGUGGCAAAAGGAGCUGAAAAUUAAACUGACCUUCUACUGCAUACCCUUAAAUUGACCCAGGAGGAGCCCUAGCUGCUAUUCCCAUGCCACGCCCCUCUCCAGCAGGAAGUAGCCAGAGUAAGUCGACGCCCAAUUCCCCGUAACAGCAGUUAGGAAUUUCAUUCCUGAGGGGGGUGUUUGUUAUAGGAGAUAAAAAUAAAUUAUUUGGGUAGACAGAGUAAAGAGAGUCCCCGGCAGAAUACUUUCCUUCUAACAAAAAGCAGCUCAGAAAUGGCUCCCUUUCUAACCUUGUGAAGUUCAAAGAAAUCAUUUCUCUUCUAACAAAGAACAACCUGAAAGGCUGUAAAAAC
rnacentral:lncRNA from 10 species